AUCAGAAAGGCAAUGGGUGGGUGUGGACGUCAGUCAAAGUUAGUCCCGCCUCUGGACUCUCCGCGCGCUUCUCAGCGCCAGGGCCGCGUGAAGAUCGCCAGUACGUUGCUCGCUUUGCCUUUUUCCCGGAGUGAUGUCACGGCGUAUCCGUCACACCCUCGAGACGUGCAAACGGCUCGGGAGAAGAGGUAUGAGGAUCAAAUAUAUAGGAGCUAAAUCUGAUGGUAAAGAUUAGAGAUCUCAAGGUUUGUACCGGUAAAAAAAAAGUCCAUAGAGACUGUUAACCUGGGAUUGUUGGCCUGCGUGGACCAUGGACAGACUUCAGAAGUUUGUCCUUCACCUCCUUUCUCCAGGUCCUAUCGCCCCACUCAAAGAGGGAAUUGGUCUCACACAGCGGUACCACCUCUGCAGGCUGCCUCCAGCGCCCCCACCCCGCCCCAGGCAUUAAAGGAGGGCCUCUCCAGGGGAGGUUAGAUGCUGAGGCUGGUGAAGGUCAGCUCCCUCAUCCCCCUAGUUAUGAGGCCCGGAAGCGCGUGUCCUCACCGAUGCCGGGCCCCAGUUCCACCAACACGUCCUCGCGGCCGAGCUUGGUGAGCAGCUCAAGCAGGCGGCCCACCGAGGCGCCAGGGCGUCCCUGCCAGUCGUCCAGCAGCUUGCCCGUGGGGUCGGCGUGCGUCUCCAGAUGCCGGAUCUCCAAGUACUCGAAGCCCAUCUCCUCGGCCAGCGCGGUCCAAUCGGCCGCCACCUGCGUCCGCACGUUCAGGAACAGCGACAGGCGGCGCCGCACUCGCACGUUGAGAGCAGCCAGCGGCAGGGAGGACAUGGAGCAGGCGGGGGACGCGGACUCCGCGCGGGAGACUUCUGCAGCCAUGGUGGGAUACCCCCGGAGCCCCAGCGCUGUGGAGUUGCGUCGCCUGUCCGCGCUUCCUCCUUCCUUUACCGCCAUCCCCGCCCCCGGCCCAGCCCCGCCGGUUUCUGUUUCCGAGAAGCUCCGCCCUGCGCUUCAAUCUGGAGCCCUAGCAGCUGUGUGAAGAGUCCCCAGUUCCCUCUGUGUUCUCGAAAGACUUCCCAAGAGAGCACAAGCACGUCGGGGACACCACCCCUGACGAGCUUCUCUCGGCCGUCAUGACCGCGGUUCUCCGGGACGUGAAGCUGAGCCCGGCCCAGCUGGGGGAUAUCUGCGUGGGAAAUGUGCUUCAGCCGGGGGCCGGAGCAAUCAUGGCCCGAAUCGCUCAGUUUCUGAGGUAAACUUUUCUAGUUCUAGCUGUAUGUUGGCCAUUUUGACUCGAGCAGGCUCAGGCACCAGGGAACUCGGCUUAUGUGUGGAAGAGGAUCAGGUUGGACACCAGACCUGGAUGCAGCCAGGGUCCUUGGCACCCUGCUUUUGUGGACACUACCUUUCCCCUAC